rnacentral:lncRNA from 10 species
UCACGCAACAGCUAUAUAGUAGCUCCGCAGACCAACAGCAGGCCGACAGCGUAGCACCUGAGUUCUAGAUCUACCACUGUUCAUGCGGGACCUGGCAUAAAGCAUUCCCACGUCUCGGCCUCCAUUUCCCCAUCUGUGAAACGAGAGCACUGGUCAGCUCUUCACAUGCAGCGUUUGUGGGAUGAAUCCUUCCAUCUGUCCAUCCAUCCCGCCAACAUCCAUGCACAAACAUUUAGCACCUGCUGCAUGCUGUCAGGGACUAUGGCAGGAAAAGAGUUGAAACAGACACGUCCCAGGCCUCCAGCCCCUCACACCACGGAGAGGAAACAGAUGCCCGCAAAGGAGGAGGCACCCCUCAGGGGGCCAGCGCUGCGACACGGUGGAGGCAGGGAGGCCGUCUCUAAGCAGCCUGCGAGUCCCCGCGCUGCACCGUGGCUUUGAGGAGUGGCGGGGGCCGAGGGGCCGGUCUCUCUUCCGGGGGAGAUUCCUCCCCUCACCCCGGCAUUACUCAGCGCCCUGAACUGUCUGCCUCCCUCCAGCCGGCCCUCCUCGUCUUCCUGGAGCGCAGCACAAAGGUCCUGUUGUGGCCGCGGCCCGGGCCGCGGGCGAGCCUCUCUGGAUGGUGGUGACUCAGUCUCUUGCCAUUUCCUUUGUGCGGCUCCGGGGCUCCUCGCUGGGAGCGGAGUGUGUCUGCAGGGCUGGGGGCGGGAGCCGGGACCCACAGCCCGACAGCGAGCCUUUCAUGUGGGCAGGGGGCUUCCCGCACGCAAUGCGAACCUACGCCUGGAGCUUCCCAAAGACAGCGUCCGGCGCAGGAACGCGAGAUGCUGGCCGCCUCGCCUCUGGCCCCCGCGAGCAUCAAAGCGCGUGCCGUCGAGGGGGCACGUGUCCCCCAUCGGGCGCGCCUCUGCUCCUAGUCCCCUGAAUGAACACAUCCUUAUGAAAAGUGGAAAUUAGCCGCCGAAGGGAAGGGCCCGGAGAGCUUGGGAAGCGACCUAGGCUGCCAGCCUCCCGGCGGGUCUUUGGUCCCAGCUCUGAUGACCUGUCAGCAGCCGCAGGACCUGCGCUUAAAGGCGCCUCUCCAGGCCUGGCUCAGGGUGGGGCUCCUCGUGCUCAGCACCCUGGUCAAGGUUAGGGCUGGGUGUGCGCUGGAGGCUUGGAGUGCCAGGGCACCCAGUGAAGAGCGAAUGAAUGAACGAGUGAACACCGGACUGGGGGCCUGCAGACGGUUCUUCGCAGGUUAAUUAGAAGGCCUCUAGCAAGCUGCAGCGGAGGCAUUUCAGGCAUCCUUCAGAGAGGACCCUCGGCCUGGCUCCUAAGGGCCCCUGGUCUGGCUCUCACCCCCUGCUCUGGUGGCAUUUCUGCUCACUCAGCCUUUACCCUUUACACGCCAGCCGCUCUGAACAGUUUAUUCUUCUGGGAGCACAUCAUGUUCUUGCUCACAUCCAGGUUUUGCGUAAGCUGUUCCUGCUGCAAGGAAAACCCUUCCUGUGUCCUCCUCAGGCAACUCCUGUGCAUCUGUAGGUACCAUUGUGAGGUUACUGCCCUGGACUGGGGAGAGAUCCACACACGCAAGAGUGCAUCUGGCAUCACUCUCUUCCUGUCAACCCUGGCAUUGCCUUUGUUGGCUACUGAGAGAAGACCAGAAAUAUCCAUCUAGUCAGACUUGCCUGCUCCUGGGAAGAAAACAAAAAUGCAAAGAAAAGGUUCUCAGGGAGAUUGAGCCAACCUGGGAGUGGCCCUCAGCUCCUCCAGUCCCCAGAGACCCAUGCUCUGCAGCAUCCAAGGGGCUCCUGUGAAACUGUUGGGAGGCCAAUGACACUCUGUCCCACGUUGUGGAUCUAUUUUGUGGUCUCUGUAUCCUUCACUGCUUUUUGUGGACAUUAUUGUAUUAGAUUCCUUUGGAAAUGAUGAUCCAGCUAAUGGCCAGUUAGUAGGAAACAUCACGACCCUCCCCCCAAAUUCCAGCCUCUUGCUGAAAGGGUGGGGCCUGGGAAAUCAUAUGGUAUUGCUCCUGGUCACCACAGACCAGUGGUGGCUUUGGGCCAAAUUCUGGCCCAGCCAAUCCCCCCCACCUUUUUUUUUUUUUGAGAGAGAGAAUUUGAGGUAAGAGACACAGAGACUCAGGUUAGGAGGAUGCUUGAACUGAAAGGUCCUGAGACAGCAGGACAGGAGCUAGUACCAUGCAGAACACAGCAGGAGCCACAGGCAAGCCUGAACUGUGGGAGAGAGAAAACGAAGGGCCUUCCAGAGAGGUCCAGUCUGCCAAGAGGAGAAGAGAGUUGACACGCAGAAAGAGUUAGGGGUGACAAGAACCCCCGUAGCCCCUUGAAGGACACAGAGAGGAGAUCUUUUUUGUUCUUUUGUGAUUCAUCCUUUCUCACUUCCUGUCCUUGGAGGUCAACAACAGACCCCUGUAUCCUUUUAAUAAUCCCUCUUUUCAUUUGAAAUUGUUCCAGAGGGUACCUGAUCCUUGUUGCCAGCAUGCCCUGAAUAAGAAAAAUGCUCAAACCAAACACUGAGUCUACUGAGUCUAUGUGAAUUAAUUCUUGGAAUUCCUUGGCUCAAUUCAAUAAACAUUUCAUGCACAAUUUUUGUGUGCCAGGUGCUAGAGGCAUUCUGAGAAAAACUGAGACCCAGGAGCUGUCCUCAGAGAGUCCAGUAAGAUGUGGUCUGAUAAGACAUGUUUCCAUAUACCCAGAAUACAAGGUAGUUUGCUAGGAGCACUGCAAGAGAAACGCAGAUGGAAGGCUGGAGUGUGUACUGCCACUGUGGAAGCAGGAGGGGCUUGAGGGAAGAGGGCCUUCAAGAAUGGGUGGAAUCUAAUAUUGGAAAGGGGAGGAAGAGUGGAAAGUAUAAGAAUCAGAAGUCUGGUUGCAGGAUGGGGCAUGAUAUGGGUGGGACACUGUAAACUGCACAGCGUGGAAGGAAUAUGGAGUUUAGAGGAAUAAUGUUAGAUGAGUCUGUAAGACGGGCUUGACUGGGAUUAUGAAGGGCCUUAAAGGUCAAGCCAAAUUUGUUAUCAUAGAAUCAUAAGAAGGAGAAGAGCCUUAGCUGUUGUCUAGUCUAACUUAGGUAAUUUGGUUCCAGUUCCUCUUAAGGUGGCCACCAUGACAGACUGAAUCUCAAGUACUCAUCUGAGAUACAGUCAUUUCAAUGGUAGUGACUCAGAAUUUACUUUUCUUUUUUUUUACCCCAGCAAAAUAUUUAUUUUAGAAAAUAGGAUUAUAUUAUUUGUUGCUCUCCAACUUGCUUUUUUUGGACAUCUUGGACAUCUUUCUCUACCAGUACAUAUAGUUCCAUUUCCUUCUUUUUAUUUUAUUUACUUUAUUAUUUUUGUAGAGAUGAGGUCUUGCCAUGUUGCCUAGGCUGGUCUGGAACUCCUGGGCUCAAGAGAUCCACUCACCUUGGCCUCCCAAAGUGCUAGGAUUACAGGCGUGAGCCACUGCAGAUAUUUUUAUUUUUUAUUUUCAUUUAUUUCAAUAGUUUUUGGGGAGCACGUGGUUAUUUGAUUACAUGGAUAAGUUCUUUAGUGGUGAUUACCGAGAUUUUGGUGCACCCAUCACCCAAGCAGUGUACACUGUACCCAAUGAGUAGUCUUUUAUCCCUCGUCCUCCUUCCCCGCUCCCCUCACGUCCCCAAAGUACAUUGUAUCUUAUGCCUUUGCAUCCUCAUGAGAUUACUUUUCUAUCUUUAACAACUUAAGAGUUCUUUCCAGAAGAGUCCUCUUACUACGAGGAAGAGUGUUAGAGCACAGGGAACUGGGCCUAGAGAGUCUGCAGCAAAUUGUCUCAAAUAGCAGCUUAAAAAGGUAAGGAACAGAAAAGAAACACUCUCUAUCUAUGUGCUGGCCUCAGGCACAGUGCUUCUAGAUGGUAGAACAUCUGUGAAGUAGAAAUUACAAUCACUUUUCAGGUGAGAAAACAGGAGCUGUAGGGAGGAGUCGGACAGGUCCCCAGGCCCAGCAACUAUACCAGGUGAGGCAGGAAUGUGGCCUCGUGUUGACCAGAUUCCACAGCCACGGGCUUCCAUCCCUCUUCUCUGCUUGCUUUAAGACUAACCACCCUGGCUUCAA